rnacentral:rRNA from 1 species
AUUGAACGCUGGCGGCAGGCCUAACACAUGCAAGUCGAGCGGAUGAACGGAGCUUGCUCCUGGAUUCCGCGGCGGACGGGUGAGUAAUGCCUAUGAAUCUGCCUCGUAGUGGUGGAUAACGUCCUGAAACGGGCGCUAAUACCGCAUACGUCCUGAUGGAGAAAGUGGGGGAUCUUCGGACCUCACGCUAUCAGAUGAGCCUAGGUCGGAUUAGCUAGUUGGUGGGGUAAAGGCCUACCAAGGCGACGAUCCGUAACUGGUCUGAGAGGAUGAUCAGUCACACUGGAACUGAGACACGGUCCAGACUACUAAGGGAGGCAGCAGUGGGGAAUAUUGGACAAUGGGCGAAAGCCUGAUCCAGCCAUGCCGCGUGUGUGAAGAAGGUCUUCGGAUUGUAAAGCACUUUAAGUUGGGAGGAAGGGCAGUAAGUUAAUACCUUGCUGUUUUGACGGUACCAACAGAAUAAGCACCGGCUAACUUCGUG